UACAGAGGGUGCAAGCGUUAAUCGGAAUUACUGGGCGUAAAGCGUGCGUAGACGGUUAUUUAAGUCAGGUGUGAAAGCCCCGGGCUCAACCUGGGAAUUGCAUUUGAGACUGAAUAGCUAGGGUGCGGAAGAGGGAAGCGGAAUUUCCGGUGUAGCGGUGAAAUGCGCAGAUAUCGGGAGGAACACCAAUUGCGAAGGCAGCUCGCUGGGACGUCGACUGACGCUCAGGCACGAAAGCGUGGGGAGCAAACAGG
rnacentral:rRNA from 1 species